rnacentral:ncRNA from 1 species
AACCCUGCCUGUUUACCAAAAACAUCACUUCUAGCAUUUAGCAGUAUUAGGAGGCACUGCCUGCCCGGUGAAUUGUGACUUUAAGGGCCCCGGUAUCCUGACUGUGCAAAGGUAGCAUAAUCACUUGUCUCUUAAUUGGGGACUAGUAUGAAUGGUACAAUGAGGGUU